CAGAGAUGGAGCUUUCCAUGUUGCCUGGGCUGUUCUGGAAUUCCUGGGCUCAAGUGAUCUGCCAACCUCAGCCUCCCAAAGUACUGGGAUUACACGCAUGAAUCACUGCACCUCACUGCAAAUAAUUUUUUAAAGACAUAAACCACAACAACAAAGACACCAGGAGACAAGCCAUCAUAGUGGCUUCAGGUCAGUGAUUUCUGGAGGAUGGAAAGCAGACAGAAGAGUGAUUGAGAGUGAGAGAGGAGGCCACUAAACACCUAGAGGUGGCAGGCUUAAGGAGAGACCCAUUCUGCCCUGUGCAGUCCUGGAGCAUCCCAGAUCAUGCCACAGUGCCUCAAUAAAUGGAGCGUCUUCUGGAUAGGGCUGCCAGAUUGAGCCAAAAAGAAAAAAAAAAAAGAAGAAGCAAACUGAAACAAAAGAUUUCAAGUUAAAUUUGAACAUCAGCUUGAUGGAGAUACAUCUUACUGGGCCUCUCAGAAUCUGCUUCAUUAGAUGCGUGACAUAGCCUAUCUUGUAUUAGAGCUUCUUGCUAGGAAUAAUGGUGAUCUCCUUGCACACACUCUUGUUUGUGUGGAAGUCAUUGCUCAGGAAAUAGGUGCAGUGAGGAAUCCUUUUAUGCCCCACCUACUGUAAGGAUCACAGAGUACUUAGAUGUCAAUGAAACAGAUGGGCCCCAAAAGCAAAACAGGAAGAGAAAACAUUAGUGGAAGAUGUGACAAGGUGAUGCUAAUCUAUCACUGAUGACGCAACAUUGAAGAAAACAACCAGAAGUCGUGCUGCCCCUUCUUCAGACAGAGUUAACCACAGGUUAGACAGCAAGAAAGCUAGGAUUCCCUGCAAAAAUGGAGGGGACCUGCUGGAGAUAAGAUCUGAGAGCUCCACGACCCACAGUAUUCCCU
rnacentral:lncRNA from 13 species